rnacentral:rRNA from 1 species
AACGAACGCUGGCGGCAGGCUUAACACAUGCAAGUCGAACGCCCCGCAAGGGGAGUGGCAGACGGGUGAGUAACGCGUGGGAACAUACCCUUUCCUGCGGAAUAGCUCCGGGAAACUGGAAUUAAUACCGCAUACGCCCUACGGGGGAAAGAUUUAUCGGGGAAGGAUUGGCCCGCGUUGGAUUAGCUAGUUGGUGGGGUAAUGGCCUACCAAGGCGACGAUCCAUAGCUGGUCUGAGAGGAUGAUCAGCCACAUUGGGACUGGGACACGGCCCAAACUCCUACGGGAGGCAGCAGUGGGGAAUAUUGGACAAUGGGCGCAAGCCUGAUCCAGCCAUGCCGCGUGAGUGAUGAAGGCCUUAGGGUUGUAAAGCUCUUUCACCGAUGAAGAUAAUGACGGUAGUCGGAGAAGAAGCCCCGGCUAACUUCGUGCCAGCAGCCGCCGUAA